GUUUGGCGGUCGAGGAGCCGCUGUGGAGGACGCGAGUUAUGCUUUGCGGGGGAUUUUGCCUCGUCUCCGUUACGAGUUGUUGACUGAGCGCGGCGCUAUGGUUUUUAACUUGCUUACCUUGUGGUCUUGGAAAACCUGAGGGAGGUUUUUAUGCGGCCACCUUCUCAGUGAGCUCCCCUUUCCACGCCGUCCGUCUGCCUCGGCCGGCGACGCGCCGUGCGUACCUCGGGUUUCCUCAGAGGCCGGAAUGGCUCAUUUUAUCCUCAUCUGCUGCGGCUCUGCGAUUGUCCCAACUUUGUCUUUACUUUUGUCUGACUCUGCUAUUCCACUUGCGCAGUGGACCCCACGGCACCGUAGAGCGCCAGAGAUUUGUGUUGGAUUGAACUUACCAGUUUGAUCUUGGAAGUUUAUGAUUCCUCGAAUCUCAGUUUCAUCACCUCUAAAGCCGUGUUGAUAAUACAUUCCACAUUUGCAGUGUGAUCAUAAAGUAAUUGCCAUAUAGAAAGCAGAAAAUAAUGGAUAAUGAUAAUAGCUAAAGCUUUGGCGUGCUUUUCAAAUGUCUCGAAUUUUCUCAAAUUCCUGGAAUGGUUCUGGCCUUGAAUAAGGACAAGAGAAACUCAAGUGGUAUCAAAGCACAUUCAACAAGGACAUGGCAGAGCCUUACACUGCUUAGUUCUUAUCUUUACCCUUUGCUUGAAAAAAUAUCACAAUCUUUAACCCAGUGACCCACAUUAGUAGAUUUUCUUCCAACAAUAAGUAAUGAUGUAUAAAAAUAGCCCUCCUGUCCCAGAGGAAAAAGAUUUUUUUUUUGAUAACUUUUUUUUUUUUUUUAAAUUUAAGAAAGGACAACUGUUCUCUUGAAAGGAGCCUGAAAAAGCCAACCGACAAUCCUCAGGCUGAUGUGUCCAGGCCUGAAUUCUUGCAAUGGAAUGCUGGUUGGAAAUAAAAUACACCACUUCCUGCUUGACCUAUAGCAAUCCCCCAAGUGUGCUCUUUGUACAUUUUCUUCAUCCGCUGAUUGGGAAGGACCCUAGAGACCAAAGAGAAACAAGAACUUGAAGACAGAAGAAGCUUGGAACAGAGCUUGCUGCCACUCCUUUGCCACCCCAUGAGAUGUAAGCAAGAAAUAACAUUUAUUUUGCUGCUUUGUGCCACAUGUGGGAUCCUAGUUCGCC